rnacentral:lncRNA from 1 species
CCACCUAGCGUGCCCAUGCUCCCUUCCUCCACCUAGCGUUGCCAUGCUCCCUUCCCUCCACCUACGCGCCUGCCAUGGGACUCCCUUCCUCCCUCCACCUAGCGUCCCAUGCUCCCUUCCUCCACUCUCCAUCUAGCGUGCCAUGCUCCCUUCCUCCACUCUCCAUCUAGCGUGCCAUGCUCCC